AGUGAACGCUGGCGGUAGGCCUAACACAUGCAAGUCGAACGGCAGCACAGUAAGAGCUUGCUCUUACGGGUGGCGAGUGGCGGACGGGUGAGGAAUACAUCGGAAUCUACUUUUUCGUGGGGGAUAACGUAGGGAAACUUACGCUAAUACCGCAUACGACCUACGGGCGAAAGCAGGGGAUCUUCGGACCUUGCGCGAUUGAAUGAGCCGAUGUCGGAUUAGCUAGUUGGCGGGGUAAAGGCCCACCAAGGCGACGAUCCGUAGCUGGUCUGAGAGGAUGAUCAGCCACACUGGAACUGAGACACGGUCCAGACUCCUACGGGAGGCAGCAGUGGGGAAUAUUGGACAAUGGGCGCAAGCCUGAUCCAGCCAUACCGCGUGGGUGAAGAAGGCCUUCGGGUUGUAAAGCCCCUUUGUUGGGAAAGAAAAGCAGCAGGUUAAUACCCCGCUGUUCUGACGGUACCCAAAGAAUAAGCACCGGCUAACUUCGUG
rnacentral:rRNA from 1 species